rnacentral:lncRNA from 1 species
CAUGCUUGCUAGACUUUGAGCCACACAUUUACUUUUACUUUUUACUGCUUAUGAGCAUUGAGUGUGGUCAAGCUGUGUAGACCCUUAGGAGCUUGUCAUGUGGUUAAAUCAAGAUUCACUUGCACGUUCACUCACACAUACUGCUUCUACUCCAGAAGUACGCAUCCACAUAUAUCCACCCAUUUCCAUCUCCAAAACCACCCAAAAAUAUUCUACUCCUAAUCCGGGAGAGAAUAGCCAAAAAUAUUUCUAUUUUUCCCCUAUGAAAUAAAUGCUCAAGAUAUCUUGGUUACUACCACUUGCUAUAUGAUCUCAUGAGAUGAGUGCUCUAAAAAAAGAGUUAUGAGGAAAUAAAAAGGGGCAAGUGCCCGGAAACUCGAAAGAAAAGAAAUAGUGAGACGAGAGGUAAAAAUGGACAAGUGUCCGACAGUAGAAUUAGGGGUACAAGAUACCCACUGAUAGGAAAGAAAAAGAAAAUGUAGAGCAUCUCAUUCUCCUCAAAAAAGUUUUAAAAGAGCAAGGAAGGUAUAUAUCCCCUCAAAAGAGCACAAGUAGAAUUAGACUUUCACCAUUGUUAUCACCAUCAUCACCAUACACCAUUCAUUCGCCACACAUGCACAUCUUGAUUUGAUUUAUUGACUUGUUUCUUUGGAUCCAUGGUUUGACUAUGCAAUAAAUGUCUUGUAAGUAUGUAUCCUUUAUCUUCCACCUAUGAGCUCCAGAUAUCAAAAGCCUUAUUAGAGUAGGGUGAGAGAGAAGGCAAUAUCACUAUGCCUUAUACCACAAAUACUACAUAUUUUGAGAGAAGGCAUAUACCAUCACUGCCUUGGUAAGGAUCCAGAAAUACCACAAAAGAGAGAUCUGAGAGAGUCAUACAAGGAAUCUCUGAGUUUUAUUUGAAAAUCUGCAAAAAACUCCAAAGUUAUAGCUGAUCAAGAAUAAGAGACAUGACACUUGACUAGACCGUUCUAUCUUUUAACUACUCAAGACAGAAGUGACGGUUACAAGUCCCAUGGUGAAAGGUAAAAUAAGUAAGUUUUAAGUCUUGACAGUUUACUCUAACUCAGAGAUGAGAUCUUAUUUAGAAGCAUGUGUACCGUCAAUUUUUAAAGGUAUUUCAGCAACUUCUGAUCCAUCGCUGAGAUUAUCCUUGCUUAGGGACGAGCAAGAGGUAAGCUUGGGGGAGUUUGUGGACGGUCCAUAAGUAUCAAAUUUAAUUAUCAAAUAAACAAAGAAAAGGAUCCAAAUGCAACCGACACCCAGACUUACGGUUUUAUGUGACAGAAUUCCACGAGUUUUGGUGUUUGUCUAUUUCUGCAGGGGGUUAUCGAGAAAUACGGAAGAAAGGCCCACACGUCGGGAUUACAUAGAGAUAUUAACGUGCCUCACAAUUUUCUAUCAUCUAGAAGACUCCAGAAGCCACGGGAAUGAAGCGGAGGCAGAACGGGGCCUGGCCCAGGGCGCCCGCCCUAGAGACCAGGGCGUCCGCCCCCCUCUUGUGUCCAAUCAGGACCCGUCUCGCGGAUUACGCUCCACCGACCUAAAGGAUCAAGGAUAACCGUUCAAUCAAUGUCGGUUUGAUCCGACGGCCCAUAUUCACUUGGAAGGACUAUAUAACCAGACCCCCUGGCCCCUGGAGGAGAGAACCUCUCAACCCUAAUUCAUUAUUCAUCAGGGAGAAGAAGCCUCUGAUCAAGCCUAGAGCCACCACAUCAAUUAGACAUCUAGAUUAGCAUAGCUACAUAGGAUUAGAACUAGAUGGAGUCAAUCUUCGAUUGGUUUCCGAAUCUGUCAAGAGGAUUCUUGGUAAUUCUCUAAUUGUUCUUCUAAUUGUUCAUCUUUGUUCUUCAAUAUUAUGAAUAUGACUUUGAUCUAGUUCAAUAUAUUGCUUAUGACUUUGCUCUACUUGUUUAUAUUUAAGAUUAUAUUGUUCUUAGUUUAUCAUAGUUAUAUACUUGGCUUAGUUAGAUUGGAUCUAUAUACAUGUUUAGGAUCGUAUAGCGUUUAUCCAUCGGAUCCAUGGGUAAAUGAUAGAUAUUGUGUAGGCGUGGUGCUUAUACCGUAUUUAUCUGCGAUUGUACCCAAUAUGCCAGAUCGUGGGGUAGUUCGUGAUAGUGACAGCUUCAUUGAUUCUUAUAUAGUCCCCCUCUCAUGUAUUGGGCUGGCAGAGCAACAUUAUUACAGGGGAGUGAUUACGAUGUUUCUCAUAUUCCUUGCUAAUAUCACUAUGCAUGGGCGUAGUCUUGUCUCACAAUGAUUGCUAAGUAUACUUGCACUAACUAUGAUAAUGCUAGACUGUACAGUUAAGAAUAACUUAGGAAAUAUUCUUGUAGUUCGUCCUAAUUCCAUACUAAUGACUUGCUAGAAUAUCUAAUUGAGGUGCUUAUCAUAUUUAUAUGUGGCUAAGUUAUGCUGAUCAGAUUAAUUUUCUUUGUCACCAUUUAUUACUUUAUAUAUAUCCUUUGUGUGACACUUAUUCCUAUAUGAAAGAGAUAGAUAGAUGCUCUCAAUUAUACAUGCAAUGAUAGAUACUCAAUUCUAUAUUCCAUUCUAUAAUCAACAUUGAUGGUUACUAAUCCCUUCCCAGUGGUAAAAAUAUAAAUAACGAUACCUGGAAUACUUCCCGGUUAAAAUGCUACAUCGGUAUUAAUCUGUGCGCUUGCAGAUCCCAUUUGUUAUUUAUUUAGAUGAGCAAUUGCAUAUUUCAAUACCGCGUCUCUUAUGUCAUGCUGGGGAUGACAACUUGGCUUAAGUGGCAUGAGGGAUAGGUUUGGCAUUUUUUGGCGUCGUUAUCAGAAUUAGAAAACUAAGUCUACUUUUGAUAGUGACGUUAAGAAUGCCCAACAAGCAUUUUUUGCGCCGUUGCGGGGAAAGGUUGAUUACUAAUCAGGAAUGGAUAUAGAAUUUUGAGUCAUCAUUCGCAUCACUAAUAUGAUUGAGCUUAUCAAUUCUCUCAUACAGUUUUACCCUAAUAUUUUUCUAUUUUAUCUUAUGCAGGGGAAUGUAUGAAUAGAAGACAUCUUCCAGGAAAUUUUGUUGACAAUCCCGAAGCGUUAUUCAGAAAAACUAGAGCCAAGCUCAAGAAGAGAUCAUCAACACUUCAGAAUGCCCAACAACGGGAAGCCGAGCGGGCCCGGGGGCAGGGCGCCCGCCCUCCCCCCUUGGGCGCCCGCCCUGUCAUCUGGACCAAUCAGGCUCUGCCUCACGGAUUAUGCUCCACCGACCUAAAUGAUCAAGGAAAACCGUGCGAUUAAGGUCGGUUUGAUCCGACGGCCCACGUUCAUUUGAGGGGGCUAUAUAAGCAGGGCCCCUGGUCCCUGGAGAAGAAACCUCUGAAUCCUUAUUCAUUAUUCAUAGACAGAGCAAAAGCUAGGGUUUGGAGAUGAGAGCUCUCCUCUCAUCUCUAAACUAGAGUAGAUCUAGAUAGUAGCGAGAUGGAGAGCGAGACACAUGAAGUUUAACAAUUUGCACAAAAAGGACAUGGCUCAUUCAUCAUAGAGAGAUGAUCCAUGGAAGGAGACAAAGUACAUAAACAAGAUACACAGCCAGUACGAAUGGGAAGCUUCCACAAGGUGAGAUGGUACCAUCACUCUUCAAUUAAGGUAACAUCUUAAGAUAUGUGACUAUCACUUUUAUAAGCUUCUCUUUGGUUCUGGCAUUCACAUAAAUAAAGAGACAAACAUGUAUGAUUUAUAACUCUAAAUUAACCAACCCAACUAAUUCAGCAUGUUUAGUCCUUUAAUUUUUGUUCCUAGUACUACCUCCAUGAUCCCACACUCCUAAUCAUAUGAGCUAAAAUGUUGCACAUUCAAUCUUUGGGAAGAUAUAAAGAAAAAGACAUAGAUAGAUUAUCUUUCCAUAAGGUUAAGCGAUCUGAUCUGAUAAAUGUUUUAAAUGCUACACUCAUGAACUUAUCACCCAUCAACUUUGUCUUGCUCCCUAUGCUUAAGGAUAGAGAAGAAUAAAUAUACUUUUGGUUUUGUUGGUGUUUUCCACCAACAGGACCCAUGCACUUGAUCUCUGCCUUGUCUCUAUGGGCAGGACACAUUUUGAGAAACAUGGAGGAUUUUUCAACUCUCAGACUCUACCAAGUGAAGGACUAGGAUCUACGAGCACAAACACACUGAACAAGAUACUGCCAACGCCGCACUUCGAACUGCUGGGCAAACGAAGAACAUGGGUGACACUGUAUCAAGAGGUACAGACGUCAAGGUCCACACCUGAUUCAAAUGAUGCACCUGAAGAAUGAACACGGUGAGAAGUCUUGUUCAGAAGACUUAAAACAUUGAACCCUUGCCGAAAGGUAAAAUCGGUAGUUAUCCAUAUUUAUCCUUUGUGCAUUCCCUUUUCCCUUUAAUUAUUUACUUUUCUUAAAUAGCUUGUUAGUUAAUCAUGCUAUCUCGAAAAGAAAUUAAAAAUGUUAAAAACAGUAAGCCCCAUGUGAGUAUGCUCGUGGCAUAAAACCCAUAAGUACAUUCACUGUGGUGGCAUAAAAAUAAAAAUAUUCCUGUCCUAUAAAAAUGAAAAUAUAAAAAUAAGAUUGUGAUCCUACUAAAGAGAGUAAUAUAAAACCCAUAAGUACAUUCACUGUGGUGGCGUAAAAAUAAAAAUAUUCCUGUCCUAUAAAAAUGAAAAUAUAAAAAUAAGAUUGUGAUCCUACUAAAGAGAGUAAUAUUUAUUGAGGAGGCUCAACAUGAUAAAGGCAAAGAGAUUUUUAUGCUAACACUUAACUAGUUCCACAAAGCUUUGUUGUCUAUUUGAGCUCCACAGAAUUCAAGGAUCAAAGAAGACUAGCAGACGGAGGACAUCCUAAUCACUGUCAGGGUGCUGCCGACAUUCAAAUACACCUCCGCCACUUGCUAGCUACAUCAGAAGAAAUUACAUCAAAAUCCAGCUUGGGGGAGAGCACCCCCAUUUAUCCAACUAAGUGUUUAUAUUCGCGUUUAUCCUUUACUCAAAUAAUAAAAAGAUGCAUAAUCAUAAAAACCCAAAUAAAGAUUUUGUGCUUAUAUAUAUAUAUAUAUCUUUGCUUAGUUUGCUAAAUAAAUAAAGUUUGCUAUGAACCCUCAUGAUAAGCUCUCACAUGGAAAUGAUGAAUAGUUGCUCUGCCAUGACAAGUUCUCAAAAUUGAAAUCUCUCUCAAGUUUAGGCAUGACUGUUAUGAAUUAAGAUUUGCUCUAAACCUGAACUUGUGGGAAGAGUACUUGAUCUAAAGUCUAAGUCGUUAACGGAUACGAUAUGGGAAGGUUGAGCUGAUGUUUAUCUAUUCCUAGAGAUGCUAGAAUUCUAGAGAAUUUUAUCUUUGAACAUCUUUAAAAUGUUGCAUGAUGAGUUCUUGUAUGAUGAGAGUUUUAAAUCCUACCACAGCCAUAUAUACAUGCUUAUUAGACUAUGAACCAUACAUUUACUUUUUACUGCUUAUGAGGAUUGAGUGUGGUCAAGCUGUGUAGACCCUUAGGAGCUUGUCAUGCGGUUAAAAUCAAGAUUCACUUGCACGUUCACUCAUACAUCCUGCUUCUACUCCGGAAGUACGCAUCCACAUACAUCCACUCAUUUCCAUCUCUAGAUUCACCCAAAAUUAUUCUACUCCUGUCCAGGAGAGAAUAGCCAAAAACAUUCUCCUAUUUCUGUUUUCCCUGUGAAAUAAAUGCUCCAGUUAUCUUGGUUACUACCACUUGCUAUAUUAUUUCAGGAGAUGAGUGCUCUAAAAAAAAGAGAAAGGAUACGAGGAAAUAAAAAAUGGGCAAGUGCCCGGAACCACGAAGAAAAGAAAAAGUGAGACGAGAGGUAAAAAUGGACAAGUGUCCGACAGUAGAAUUAGGGGUACAAGAUACCCACCUGAGAGAAAAGAAAAAGAAAAUAUAGAGCAUCUCAUUCUCCUCAAAAGUUUCAAAAGUGUAAAAAAGGUAUGUAUCCCCUCAAAAGAGCAAAAGUAGAAUUAGACUUUCACCAUUGUUUUCACCAUUAUCACCAUCAUCACCAUACACCAUUCAUUCGCCACACAUGCACAUCUUGAUUUAACUUAUUGACUUGUUUCUCUGGAUCCAUGGUUUGACUAUGCAAUAAAUGUCUUGUAAGUAUGUAUUAGCUGUCUCCCACCUAUGAGCUCCAGAUAUCAAAGCCUCAUUAGAGUAGGAUGAGAGAGAAGGCA